AGCUAUAUAGUUUAAUUAAAAUAUUAAUUUUGUAAAUUAAUGAUAAAAUAUUUUUUAUAGCUA
rnacentral:tRNA from 1 species